rnacentral:lncRNA from 1 species
UUGUGUUAAGGUUAAUGGAAGUGAGUUUUGAGUUGAAAUGAACCAAGGCAGAGGAGCCAAGUUCGGCCGCCGAAGAUAAGUUCGGCCGCCGAAAGUGCUCAAGAUGCGGCUUCCGAAUUCAGGUUCGGCCCCCGAAUGUUGCAUGGUUUUGCAUGCGAUUCGGCAGCCGAAGCUGAGUUGCUUAGCCAGCAGUUUGGUAUCCCUUAGUCAGCA